CUCCAGCCAGCCUGAGGCUGGCCUCCCACUGUCCUUCCCUGACCAAGACCUGCCUCUUCCUUAGGUGAUUGGAGCAGAAAUGCUACCCUCGCUCGGAGGAGAAAUUACUAACGACAGAGCCCACUGGUUCCGGGAUGGAACCACAUGAGAGUCCCAGGGGCCAACAUUCAGACCAGAGUGUCAUCACCGGCCUAGGAAGCGUGUGCUGCUCUUCCUGUUUCACGGACGAGGACGCUGGCUUGGGCAGAGACUCGUCCGUUCCAAUCAGAGCUGGAGUUGUUGCAAGAAUGAAAGCACCUGGCUGCUGCCUGCACAGCGAUGGUUCGAUAAGCGAUAGCUCUCAUUGCUCCAUCUAACGUCUACUUCAACCCACUCGGGAGCUCGGAGUGGCCACUCGUGUUGGUGGUUCUAGAUUGCUCCAGAGGCAAUUCUGCUGUUUUGGAACAUCUACCUUUUUUAUUUACAGGCUAAUCAACAUGGCUGGGUGGCACCCCAGUGAUGCCAGCCAGGGAACUUAUCAGGAAGGGUAGACAUGGUCCCAGUCCCAUCCACAUUUGUGUCUUAUCAGCUCCCAAAGCAAGUCUUGUCUCAUUGAAAUGAUGCGAACACGAACACAGAAGCGCUCUGCCCCAACUCUACUGGCCUACUCAUUUUUUUCCCCCAAAGCCGUACAAUCUCAGCACCUUUGGGCUCUUAAUUACAUCCUAUGUUCCCGGGAGGCGCCCCUCCCCAACCCAGCCCUCUGUCAUCUCUUCCUCCCCUAAACCUGUAAUAUCUGUACCCUUUACCCGGCUUCCAUCAUAUGCUUAUUUGUAUUGUUGAUUUAAAAAAUGCA